rnacentral:misc_RNA from 1 species
GGCCGGACACGGUGCGGU